AUUGAACGCUGGCGGCAGGCCUAACACAUGCAAGUCAAUCGGCGCGCCGGACGGGUUAGUAAUGUCUUGGAAUUUGCCUGGUAGUGGGGUAUAACGUCCGGUAACGGGCGCUUAUACCACAUACUGUCAGUUGAGGUUAGGUCGGAUGUGCUAGUUCUUCGGGUUAAGGCCUCCCUAGUCGAUGAUCCGUAACUAGUCUGAGAGGAGGAUCAGUCACACUGGAACGGAGACACGGUCGAGACUCCUACGGGAGGCAGCAGUGGGAAGUUUUGGUCAAUGGGCGAAGGCCGGAUCCAACCAUGUCGCGUGAGGGAAGAAGGUCUUCGGAUUGUAAAGAACUGUAAGUAGGGAGGAGUUACCAAAAGAAUAAGUACAGGCUAACUUCGUGCCAGCAGCCGCGGUAAUAC
rnacentral:rRNA from 1 species